rnacentral:rRNA from 1 species
GCGCAGCUGAUGCAGCCAUGCCGCGUGAAGUGAUGAAGGCCUUCGGGUUGUAAAGCCCUUUUUUUGAGGAAGAAA